rnacentral:rRNA from 1 species
UACGGGGGGAGCAAGCGUUGUUCGGAUUUACUGGGCGUAAAGGGCGCGUAGGCGGCCACCGCAAGUCGACUGUGAAAUCUCCGGGCUUAACCCGGAAAUGGCAUUGGAAACUGCAUGGCUAGAGGGUUGGAGGGGGGACUGGAAUACUUGGUGUAGCAGUGAAAUGCGUAGAUAUCAAGUGGAACACCAGUGGCGAAGGCGAGUCCCUGGACAACACCUGACACUGAGGCACGAAAGCUAGGGGAGCAAACAGG